GCCUACGGGAGGCAGCAGUGGGGAAUAUUGCACAAUGGGGGAAACCCUGAUGCAGCGACGCCGCGUGAGUGAAGAAGUAUCUCGGUACGUAAAGCUCUAUCAGCAGGGAAGAAAAAAAGUCUUUGGCUUUGGACGGUACCUGACUAAGAAGCCCCGGCUAACUACGUGCCAGCAGCCGCGGUAAUACGUAGGGGGCAAGCGUUAUCCGGAUUUACUGGGUGUAAAGGGAGCGUAGACGGCAUAGCAAGUCUGAUGUGAAAGAUCGGGGCUCAACCCCGGGCCUGCAUUGGAAACUGUUAAGCUGG
rnacentral:rRNA from 1 species